CUCCAAAAGGUACAGAUUUCGUUUUCUAAUUAACUGUGGCGCCAAUGAAAUUUCCGUUGCGGAAAUGUGAUGUCAACAGUCUGAGUCGACACGCACUGGUGUGUUCCGCCAAAGCGCCACCAUGUCCACGAAUUUUUCAGUUUUUAAAAGCAACUAAUUUUUAUCAUGUUAUGAUAUUCUUCUGAAUCACGGAACGAUAAUACAUUUCGACUUGUCUAGCUCUCAAAAUUGCGUUCCAGAAAUCAGAAUUGAAUUUAUCUGGUUCUGAAACCUGAGACUUCGCGUCUGAAAAUUGCGUGUAAAUAAAUAAUAUUCGCAAUACCAGGAAACUUUGCAUACUCCGCAAGUGCUUUUCCUUUCAUUCUCUUCUCCAGGAAUUUUUAAUUUCAUCUUUGUGUUUUCUCGGCGUUGGAGGAAAUUAAAGUGCAGUAAUGAAAUGUCAUAGUUGUGGUGUCGAUAAAUUAUCGAAAGAAUUUCCACACGAACAUCUCACAAAGGAGUGUACUAAACAUCCAUUGCUACAUUGCCUCAGAUGCGCAACAAAGUCAGUCAAAGAUGAUAAAAAGUGCUCACAAUGUGUCGCCGUCGUUGAUGAAGACAACAGACAGUACAAGAAAUAUGUCCAGACUUUGAGGUUCCUUUUCCCCGCAAUUAUCACUGGUGACAAACCAACAAUUAGUGGCGGCGAACUCGCAACAGCUAGUCAGUCUGGUGGUGCCACAGCUAAUGACACGACACCGAACAUUUUUGUUACUACUCUUUCAGGAGAGAGUAUCACAAUUGUUUAUAACCCAGAACAAACUAUUAUGUAUCUGAAAUCUAUUGUUAACGAAAAAUUUGGGAUUCCUUCAAACAAACAAUGUCUGUUGCACAAUAAUGAGGUGCUGGAGACCAGUAAUAGCGAGGGCAAACAACUCAGAUUGAAAGAUUGCGGUGUAAAUCCCAAUGGCAGAAUUUACCUGGUAAUAUUACUGUAUGCAAUUCCUUGGAAUAUGGAUAUAAUCUUUGAUCUUUCCUGGGGAUAUCCGAAGAAAACUUUGAAUUUCGAGAUAUUCGAACUUAAAUGGUUCAAAGUUCGCGACUAUCUCGAUGCUUCUGUAUUUCUCUACAGUGAUUCUAAAUUUAUAGAAGUCGUGGACUAUCGCAAUAAGGCAAGUAAAUCAUGCCCAGCAGUCGAGCAUUCUGGUGACGUCAUGCAUGAUAAAGAUAAGCUUGGUCAUCACACUAUAUCUGUGUCAACCCAAUCAAUACCAGCUGAGGUUAACCGUCUGGUGUUCACAUUAAGUGCUUGGAAUGCCCCGAACGUGUCGAAAUAUACAAAUCCAAGCCUAAAAUGUUAUGAUAAAAAGAAACAAAACGAACAGCUUUGCGACGAUGUGUUGGGAUGCGCUGCUAAUUUAAAAGCCAUCAUUAUGUGUUGUUUAACCAAACGAAGUGAUGAGUGGCAAGUAGUUAGUUUAAAAUAUCCAUCUGCUGGAAACGCGAAGAAUUACGAUCAACUAAAAACCACGAUUGAACACCUCAUAGAAUCUGGGCAAAUGCCAUGAUAUUGACAUGCACAUAGAAAUUGUAGUUAGGGGCCGUUCGCAAAAUACGUGACGCUCUCUUGGACCUUUUAUUACACCCUGGUUUCCUUCGUUUUAUUACACGCCGGUUUCCUCAAGUAUCAAUAGCUAAUAAAUAACAAGCAAAACGGAUGUAUCUUAUUUUGGCGCAAAACCAGCAAACAUAAACAAACUUAACAAAGUAAAUUGUCAUCGCAAUCCCAAAAAGUCUCUUUAUGUUUGUUGGAAAUAUUGAAUUUGAAUCAAUGAGCUCUAUGAUUUUAAAUUUUUAAUUGAAGAAAGAAAAUGUUGAAAGUUCUAGAGAAUUUCCAUAAGUUUUUCAUUUGAUCAUUUCCAUAAAAAAUGCCAUCUCACUUGCCUUUAUAUCAAAAUUUCCAUAAAAUAUAUAAAUUUCCAUCAAAGUGGAAACCCUGCAGUCUGUUAAAAGGCGCGAAAAUUGACGGCAAAUUCCGACCUCGUCCCGAGUACAUUAUGUCCUGAAAGCAUGCUUUUGGAUUUGGUCGAUAUUUGGAUUUUUGAACUAUUUUUUGGGGCAUAUUUCUACCAAUUUCACAAAUUCAUCAUUGUAGUAUGGAAUGUGAUGGUCCAUAUCUAUAAAUAAGGUGGUGCACUAUUGUUGUGUGUAAUAAAUACUGCCGUGGAAGGAAGAGGGCUCGUCCAUCCUUGCAAUGCAUUGAAUGCAAGCCAUUUUUUCAUCCCGAAUGCAUCUUCUUCAAUGCGAGAGAUGCCAAGAAGAUCAAAAAUACAUUCGCCUGCACUUCUUGAGGUGCUUACUGCAGAGUGGAUCAUUGAUGUUGUCAGAGAUAGUGACUGAGAUUGAUCGGUAUUCCGGUUUAAGAUCAAGACCGAUUUUGUGAAGAUUAUGCAACGAAGGCGAAGGAAGCAUUUCUUCACAGUACCUUGUAACCAAGAUGUCUGCAAACGUUUCUGAUUCACCUGGAUGCUCUCUUUCUGUAUCAACGGAUUCUUCCCCGUCGUGGAUGUGAGGUUUUAGCAAUUUUUGGUGUUCCGUGUUCCGUCUUUUACCAGACGCCCGAGAAGCCGGCCUUACAUCAAUAACAAGAUAUUUCAAUUAUGCCGCAAAAGUGUUUGAAAUCAACACAUAGCGGCGCCGCCUAUGGACGAUGUAGCACAAGUUGAAAAGUUCUGGAUUAAUCGAUUGGAUUUUGCCAAUGCUGAGGCAGAAUGGCAUGAAAGAAUAUUUCAACAAUACAUGCAUGGGUUUAGCAAAUAUAACUCCUUUUAGUUUUCUAUUUUUAUGUCGGCGGCCGUUACACGGCACUUUAAAUCUGGCUCUGGAUUAAAUUGUGAACGGACAAAAAUCACCAUAUAUUCUGCUCGGCCUCUAAAUAAAAUCCGAAAGCUAAAAACCGCCCAAAAUACAUUAAAUGUUAUAAUAUAAGUGGGAUAGAACGAGCAAUUUGAUUGGCCAACGCGCGUGCAUUGUGAGGCCGUAAUGCACGCUUGUAUAGCUUUUAAAAUUUUCCCACCUCUUGUUGAAAGGAAAACAAACUAUAAAUUCAAUAAGUAAAGUCCAAAAUUUCUCAAAAUGAGUUAAAAAAUAUAACAUAGAAUUCUAACUUGCAAGACUCUAGUUCCGAAAAUCAAAGCGUUGGUGCCGGCAAAGAGAUUAAGGUUUGCAAAAUAUCAGAAACUCGGAGAGCUCAAAUUCGUGCUGGGAAGUUGUUUGCUGAAAGCGAACCGUUCGAACCGAGCUGUUUUUGUUGAUAAAGGGAAUUUCAUUUUUGAUCUAAUAAAUAAAUUUUGCGUUGCCCUUUAAUUCUUCGUGCGUGCCUUUAUGGUGUAAUAAUAAUGCACGAUGGGGAACGUUGGGAGAAUACGAGCUAAGCUUCUCGAUUUUAGCGCUUCUCGUUUUUUAACUUCUUAUUAAUUAACCGAGCGCGAGGUCUUUACCGCGAAAUAUCGGACUACUUACUUGAAGCGAACAAGAAA